rnacentral:lncRNA from 1 species
GUGUCACAACGGAUUCUGGGAAUACUGCUCGAUAUCCGCUUGGCCUUAGGAGUGUUCCAUUCUUGUUGCCAUCUCUCCUAAGCUUCCAAAUUACCAAACUCUGACUUCUUGCUCACCUUUUUUAGCUAGUAUAUCAUAUCAUAUGAUAUCGAGUUGCAGCUUUCUUCUUCCAGCCUCUCGAGCGAGGGAAUCAACCGCUUCCUCUCACAAGCACUGCUUUUGCAAAA